rnacentral:lncRNA from 1 species
CCAAGGCCAAAGCCAAAGGCUUUGAAAGCCAAGAAGGCAGUACUGAAAGGCGUCCACAGCCACAAAUUCAAGAAGAUUCACACACCACUCACCUUCUGGGGUCCAAGACACUGAGGCUCUGGAGACAGCCCAAAUAUCCUCGGAAGAGCACCCCCGGAAGAAACACCAGCCCUGGAGAAACAUUCCCCUGACCACUGAGUUCAUGGUGAAGAAGAGAGAAGACAACAGCACACUUGUGUUCAUUGUGGAUGUCAAAACCAACAAACACAGGAUCAAACUGGCUGUGAAGUUCUCUGACGUUGAUGUGGCCAAGGUCAACACCAUGAUAUGUCAUGGAGAGAAGACAUAUGUUCCAUUGACUCCUGCUAUGAGGCUUUGGAUGUUGCCAACAAAAUUGGAAUCAUC